rnacentral:sRNA from 1 species
ACGUAACCGCAUUAGGGAUUGCAGUGGAAAGCCCACAGCGGAGCCAUAGCGGAGUGAGGACUUGCAACGGAAAGCGCGACCCGAG